rnacentral:rRNA from 1 species
UACGUAGGGGGCUAGCGUUGUCCGGAUUUAUUGGGCGUAAAGAGCGUGUAGGCGGCCAGGUAGGUCUGCUGUGAAAACUCGAGGCUCAACCUCGAGAUGUCGGCGGAAACCAUCUGGCUAGAGUCCGGAAGAGGAAAGUGGAAUUCCUGGUGUAGCGGUGAAAUGCGCAGAUAUCAGGAAGAACACCCGUGGCGAAGGCGGCUUUCUGGGGACGGUACUGACGCUGAGACGCGAAAGCGUGGGGAGCGAACAGG